rnacentral:rRNA from 1 species
GACGAACGCUGGCGGCGUGCUUAACACAUGCAAGUCGAACGGUAAGGCCCUUCGGGGUACACGAGUGGCGAACGGGUGAGUAACACGUGGGUGAUCUGCCCUGCACUUUGGGAUAAGCCUGGAAAACUGGGUCUAAUACCGGAUAGGACCACGGCCUUCAUGGGUUGUGGUGGAAAGCUUUUGCGGUGUGGGAUGGGCCCGCGGCCUAUCAGCUUGUUGGUGGGGUAAUGGCCUACCAAGGCGACGACGGGUAGCCGGCCUGAGAGGGUGUCCGGCCACACUGGGACUGAGAUACGGCCCAGACUCCUACGGGAGGCAGCAGUGGGGAAUAUUGCACAAUGGGCGCAAGCCUGAUGCAGCGACGCCGCGUGAGGGAUGACGGCCUUCGGGUUGUAAACCUCUUUCAGUAGGGACGAAGCGCAAGUGACGGUACCUAUAGAAGAAGCACCGGCCAACUACGUGCCAGCCGCCGCAGUAA